UACGGGGGGAGCAAGCGUUGUUCGGAUUUACUGGGCGUAAAGGGCGCGUAGGCGGCCACCGCAAGUCGACUGUGAAAUCUCCGGGCUUAACCCGGAAAGGUCAGCCGAUACUGCGGGGCUAGAGUGCAGAAGGGGCAACUGGAAUUCUCCGGUGUAGCGGUGAAAUGCGUAGAUAUCGAGAGGAACACCUGCGGCGAAGGCGGGUUGCUGGGCUGACACUGACGCUGAGGCGCGAAAGCUAGGGGAGCGAACGGG
rnacentral:rRNA from 1 species